AAUCCUGCUCAGUACGAGAGGAACCGCAGGUUCGGACAUUUGGUUCACGCACUCGGUCAAGCGGCCGGUGGUGCAAAGCUACCAUCCGUGGGAUUAUGCCUGAACGCCUUUAAGGCCGUAUCCUCUCUAGUCAAAGGUGGCAAUGAUAUAUCUAAGAAUCUCGUGAGUAAAAGGCUCAAAACAAUGUGACACUACUAGGCGGCCGGUUGCCCUUUGCGGGGUGGACCAAUCGUCGCACGAGCCCGGUUUGCCGUACGGCGCCAUCGUCCGUCGUCGAGAUCUCACCGCCUACAAAGGCGCAGCGUCUAACAGUCAAACAUGAGUUUUGCGAGUUCGAUGUCGAGACUCGGAAUCGUCUGUAGACGACUUAGGUACCUGGCGGGGUGUUGUACUCCAUAGAGCAGCAAUCUGUUGAGACUCAGCCCUCGGCUUGGGAUUCGU
rnacentral:ncRNA from 1 species